rnacentral:tRNA from 1 species
GUCCUUGUAGUAUAAUCAUUACCCUGGUUUUGUAAACCAAAAAUGGAAGAAACCUUCCCCAGGACA